GACGAACGCUGGCGGCGUGCUUAACACAUGCAAGUCGAACGAUGAAACCUAGCUUGCCAGGUCGAUUAGUGGCGAACGGGUGAGUAACACGUGACUAACCUGCCCCUUUCUCUGGGAUAACGCUCCGAAAGGAGUGCUAAUACCGGAUACUCACACCGAGGCACAUGCCUUGGUGUGGAAAGUUUUUCGGAAAGGGAUGGAGUCGCGGCCUAUCAGCUUGUUGGUGAGGUAACGGCUCACCAAGGCGACGACGGGUAGCCGGCCUGAGAGGGCGACCGGCCACACAGGGGCUGAGACACGGCCCGGACUCCUACGGGAGGCAGCAGUGGGGAAUAUUGCACAAUGGGCGCAAGCCUGAUGCAGCGACGCCGCGUGAGGGAUGAAGGUCUUCGGAUUGUAAACCUCUUUCAGUAGGGACGAAGCGAAAGUGACGGUACCUAAAGAAGAAGCACCGGCUAACUACGUGCCAGCCGCCGCUGUAA
rnacentral:rRNA from 1 species